GAUGAACGCUGGCGGCGUGCCUAAUGCAUGCAAGUCGAGCGAACGGACGAGAAGCUUGCUUCUCUGAUGUUAGCGGCGGACGGGUGAGUAACACGUGGAUAACCUACCUAUAAGACUGGGAUAACUUCGGGAAACCGGAGCUAAUACCGGAUAAUAUUUUGAACCGCAUGGUUCAAAAGUGAAAGACGGUCUUGCUGUCACUUAUAGAUGGAUCCGCGCUGCAUUAGCUAGUUGGUAAGGUAACGGCUUACCAAGGCAACGAUGCAUAGCCGACCUGAGAGGGUGAUCGGCCACACUGGAACUGAGACACGGUCCAGACUCCUACGGGAGGCAGCAGUAGGGAAUCUUCCGCAAUGGGCGAAAGCCUGACGGAGCAACGCCGCGUGAGUGAUGAAGGUCUUCGGAUCGUAAAGCUCUGUUAUUAGGGAAGAACAUAUGUGUAAGUAACUGUGCACAUCUUGACGGUACCUAAUCAGAAAGCCACGGCUAACUACGUG
rnacentral:rRNA from 1 species